rnacentral:rRNA from 1 species
AUACAUGCAAGUCGAGCGAGCAAAGUUAAAGGAAUACUUCGGUAGGAAUUUAAUAGCGCGAGCGGCGGAUGGGUGAGUAACACGUGGGCAACCUGCCCUUUAGCUUGGGAUACCACUUGGAAACAGGUGCUAAUACCAAAUAAGAAGUAAGAGCGCAUGCUCAAGCUAUGAAAGGCGGCUUUCGAGCUGUCACUAAAGGAUGGGCCCGCGGUGCAUUAGCUAGUUGGUAAGGUAACGGCUUACCAAGGCAAUGAUGCAUAGCCGAGUUGAGAGACUGAUCGGCCACAUUGGGACUGAGACACGGCCCAAACUCCUACGGGAGGCAGCAGUAGGGAAUCUUCCACAAUGGACGCAAGUCUGAUGGAGCAACGCCGCGUGAGUGAAGAAGGUUUUCGGAUCGUAAAGCUCUGUUGUUGGUGAAGAAGGACAUGGGUAGUAACUGAUCUAUGUUUGACGGUAAUCAACCAGAAAGUCACGGCUAACUACGUGCCAGCAGCCGCGGUAAUACGUAGGUGGCAAGCGUUGUCCGGAUUUAUUGGGCGUAAAGCGAACGCAGGCGGGAGAACAAGUCAGCUGUGAAAGCCCUCGGCUUAACCGAGGAACGGCAACUGAAACUGUUUUUCUUGAGUGCAGAAGAGGAGAGUGGAACUCCAUGUGUAGCGGUGAAAUGCGUAGAUAUAUGGAAGAACACCAGUGGCGAAGGCGGCUCUCUGGUCUGUAACUGACGCUGAGGUUCGAAAGCAUGGGUAGCGAACAGGAUUAGAUACCCUGGUAGUCCAUGCCGUAAACGAUGAGUGCUAAGUGUUGGGAGGUUUCCGCCUCUCAGUGCU